CCAACCGGGAUUGCCUUAGUAACGGCGAGUGAAGCGGCAAAAGCUCAAAUUUGAAAUCUGGUACCUUCGGUGCCCGAGUUGUAAUUUGGAGAGGGCAACUUUGGGGCCGUUCCUUGUCUAUGUUCCUUGGAACAGGACGUCAUAGAGGGUGAGAAUCCCGUGUGGCGAGGAGUGCGGUUCUUUGUAAAGUGCCUUCGAAGAGUCGAGUUGUUUGGGAAUGCAGCUCUAAGUGGGUGGUAAAUUCCAUCUAAAGCUAAAUAUUGGCGAGAGACCGAUAGCGAACAAGUACAGUGAUGGAAAGAUGAAAAGAACUUUGAAAAGAGAGUGAAAAAGUACGUGAAAUUGUUGAAAGGGAAGGGCAUUUGAUCAGACAUGGUGUUUUGUGCCCUCUGCUCCUUGUGGGUAGGGGAAUCUCGCAUUUCACUGGGCCAGCAUCAGUUUUGGUGGCAGGAUAAAUCCAUAGGAAUGUAGCUUGCCUCGGUAAGUAUUAUAGCCUGUGGGAAUACUGCCAGCUGGGACUGAGGACUGCGACGUAAGUCAAGGAUGCUGGCAUAAUGGUUAUAUGCCGCCCGUCUUGAAAACCCCCGGACAAAAAA
rnacentral:rRNA from 1 species